rnacentral:rRNA from 1 species
ACCGGGCUGCUAUACAUGCAAGUCGAGCGGAGUUGAUGGAAAGCUUGCUUUCCUGAUACUUAGCGGCGGACGGGUGAGUAACACGUAGGCAACCUGCCCUCAAGCUUGGGACAACUACCGGAAACGGUAGCUAAUACCGAAUACUUGUUUUCUUCGCCUGAAGAGAACUGGAAAGACGGAGCAAUCUGUCACUUGGGGAUGGGCCUGCGGCGCAUUAGCUAGUUGGUGAGGUAACGGCUCACCAAGGCGACGAUGCGUAGCCGACCUGAGAGGGUGAUCGGCCACACUGGGACUGAGACACGGCCCAGACUCCUACGGGAGGCAGCAGUAGGGAAUCUUCCGCAAUGGGCGAAAGCCUGACGGAGCAAUGCCGCGUGAGUGAUGAAGGUUUUCGGAUCGUAAAGCUCUGUUGCCAGGGAAGAACGCUUGAGAGAGUAACUGCUCUCAAGGUGACGGUACCUGAGAAGAAAGCCCCGGCUAACUACGUGCCAGCAGCCGCGGUAAUACGUAGGGGGCAAGCGUUGUCCGGAAUUAUUGGGCGUAAAGCGCGCGCAGGCGGUCAUGUAAGUCUGGUGUUUAAUCCCGGGGCUCAACCCCGGAUCGCACUGGAAACUGUGUGACUUGAGUGCAGAAGAGGAGAGUGGAAUUCCACGUGUAGCGGUGAAAUGCGUAGAGAUGUGGAGGAACACCAGUGGCGAAGGCGACUCUCUGGGCUGUAACUGACGCUGAGGCGCGAAAGCGUGGGGAGCAAACAGGAUUAGAUACCCUGGUAGUCCACGCCGUAAACGAUGAGUGCUAGGUGUUAGGGGUUUCGAUACCCUUGGUGCCGAAGUUAACACAUUAAGCACUCCGCCUGGGGAGUACGGUCGCAAGACUGAAACUCAAGGAAUUGACGGGGACCCGCACAGCAGUGGAGUAUGUGGUUUAAUUCGAAGCAACGCGAGAACCUUACCAGUCUUGACAUCCACUAACGAAGCAGAGAUGCAUCAGUGCCCUUCUGGGAAAGUUGAAAACAGGGGGUGCAAUGGGUUGUCGUCAGCUC